rnacentral:misc_RNA from 1 species
CGCAUAUUGCGCCCAUUAGUAUUCUAGUGGGCAUGCCUAUUCGAGCGUCAUUUCAACCCUUAAGCCCUGUAGCUUAGCGUUGGGAGUCUACCCCUUCACGGGGGCAGUUCCCUAAAACCAGUGGCGGUGUUAGGUACACUCAUAGCGUAGUAAUUCUUUUCUCGCUUCUGCAGUGGUCCUAGCUACCUGCCGUAAAACCCCCCUAUAUUCUAAUGGUUGACCUCGGAUUAGGUAGGAAUACCCGCUGAACUUAA